AUGCUUAAAAAUGGUUAAGACGGCUUUAUAGUUUCUUUCGCUUUGACACUGUGCUAAAGCAGUCUGUUCUUUUCCUAUAAAUUUAAUGGACUAUUUAGCCUCUUAAGUGUAUUCAGAAAGUCAGCACAUUA
rnacentral:snoRNA from 1 species